GAGGGGGGUUGCCAAAGUGAUGGUAAGCCUCAACAUCCUACAGUUUAGUAUUGUGACACGUGUCCCGAGCUCUCGUCAGCGUCGCCCUGGAAACUGAGCAGUCACACCUGCACCUGCUCGUCACGGGCUGAGCGGCCAAACCUGUGCCCCAUCAAGCUCUGAGAGCAGUGUGUGACCCCCAGCCCCACCCCACAGGGAGAGCACGGACCCCCACCGCACUGGUGCACCAAUUGGAGAGGAAGCCGAGCACCAAACUGCCUCACACUAACGCCUUUUCACCACCCUACCCUUAUUAAAAUAUGGAAGGAAAGCCAAGUGUAGUUACUGAUCCAGUGACGUCCUGGAAUAAAGCUCAGAAUUACUGCAGUGAAAACUACACGUGUGCCUGGAUCAGUCUGUUCAGAGACUCGUGAAAGUGGUAGUACAGUUGUUUAGUACACAUUGGUACAUCGUAUCUAAUAUUU